rnacentral:rRNA from 1 species
UGGGGAAUAUUGGACAAUGGGCGCAAGCCUGAUCCAGCCAUGCCGCGUGUGUGAAGAAGGCCUUCGGGUUGUAAAGCACUUUCAGGAGUGAAGAAAAGCGCUGGGUGAACAAUCCGGCGUCUUGACGUCAGCUCCAGAAGAAGCACCGGCUAACUCCGUGCCAGCAGCCGCGGUAAUACGGAGGGUGCGAACGUUAAUCGGAAUUACUGGGCGUAAAGCGCGCGUAGGCGGUUCGUCAAGUCAGGUGUGAAAGCCCCGGGCUCAACCUGGGAAUUGCAUUUGAAACUGGCGGGCUAGAGUGCAGUAGAGGGAGGUGGAAUUCCGGGUGUAGCGGUGAAAUGCGUAGAUAUCCGGAGGAACACCAGUGGCGAAGGCGGCCUCCUGGACUGACACUGACGCUGAGGCGCGAAAGCGUGGGGAGCAAACAGGAUUAGAUACCCCCGUAGUCC